rfam:Hordeum vulgare subsp. vulgare, WGS project CAJW01000000 data, contig: morex_contig_102626
CAACUACUCCCUCCGCCCCAAAGUUCUUGUCUUGGGUUUGUCUAGAAAUGGAUGUAUCAAAAUACUAAAACCUGACUAGAUACAUUCAUAUCUAGACAAAUCUGAGACAAGAAUUUUAGGAUGGAGGGAGUAUUUA